rnacentral:lncRNA from 10 species
CAAUUGUUCUCCUUGGAUACUCCCUCUGGUCUCUAUGUAGACAGAGAACGUUCUCCUCCAGCCUCUGUUGAUCUCUGAAGGUCUUUAAUUCAAAAUGCACGUUACAUCAGGGACCACUAUUUUGGGGGUCUGCUGUCAUGUGAUGCUAUACCAGAGUCAAGCUGGAAUUUGGCAUCUUAGUGCCAAAGGGUCUGUUUCAUCCAUGAAGGGAUGUCUAUUUUAAUGUUAAUGCUGCAGGUCAAGCAGUACCUGAGAGCACUGAGGAGCACCUGGACCCAGUAACUUCUCUAAAUCUAGUGUGGGGGAAGAUGCGCCCCUGCCAUGGAGCCAUGUUCUAUGGCAGGCAACCACUGGUCAAUAAAAAAAAAUCAGAUGAUGUCAAGUGUAUAUCUAAUUGACAUUAAAAUACACAUUUGAAAAUUUGGAAAUCCUUUUUUAAAUAAAAUUUUUAAAUUUCAUUUUUAAUAUA